GACAGAGGGUGCAAACGUUGUUCGGAAUUACUGGGCGUAAAGCGCGUGUAGGUGCUUCGCAAGUCGGAUGUGAAAGCCCUGGGCUCAACCCAGGAAGUGCAUUCGAAACUGCAGAGCUGGAGUCCUGGAGAGGAAGGCGGAAUUCUCGGUGUAGAGGUGAAAUUCGUAGAUAUCGAGAGGAACACCGGUGGCGAAGGCGGCCAACUGGACGAAUACUGACGCUGAGGUGCGAAAGCGUGGGGAGCAAACAGG
rnacentral:rRNA from 1 species